rnacentral:misc_RNA from 1 species
GAUGAAGAACGUAGCGAAAUGCGAUACGUAGUGUGAAUUGCAGAAUUCAGUGAAUCAUCGAAUCUUUGAACGCACAUUGCACCUCUCGGUAUUCCGAGGGGCAUGCCUGUUCGAGCGUCAUUAUAACCCCUCAAGCUCAGCUUGGUGUUGGGGCCUGCUGCACUGGCAGCCCUUAAAAUCAGUGGCGGCGCCAUCUGGCUCUAAGCGUAGUAAUUCUUCUCGCUAUGGAGUCCUGGUGGAUGCUUGCCAUCAACCCCCAAUUUUUCUAUGGUUGACCUCGGAUCAGGUAGGGAUACCCGCUGAACUUAAGCAUAUCAAUAAGCGGAGGA